rnacentral:rRNA from 1 species
UGCAAGUCGAACGAACCUUCGGGUUAGUGGCGGACGGGUGAGUAACGCGUGAGAAUCUGCCCUCAGGAGGGGGAUAACGGUUGGAAACGACCGCUAAUACCCCAUAUGCCGAGAGGUGAAAUGAAAUUCGCCUGAGGAUGAGCUCGCGUCUGAUUAGCUAGUUGGUAGGGUAAAGGCCUACCAAGGCAUUGAUCAGUAGCUGGUCUGAGAGGAUGAUCAGCCACACUGGGACUGAGACACGGCCCAGACUCCUACGGGAGGCAGCAGUGGGGAAUUUUCCGCAAUGGGCGCAAGCCUGACGGAGCAACGCCGCGUGAGGGAUGAAGGCCUCUGGGCUGUAAACCUCUUUUAUCAAGGAAGAAGAACUGACGGUACUUGAUGAAUAAGCCACGGCUAAUUCCGUGCCAGCAGCCGCGGUAAUACGGGAGUGGCAAGCGUUAUCCGGAAUUAUUGGGCGUAAAGCGUCCGCAGGCGGUUUUACAAGUCUGUCGUUAAAGCGUGGAGCUCAACUCCAUUUCAGCGAUGGAAACUGUAAGACUCGAGUGUGGUAGGGGCAGAGGGAAUUCCCGGUGCAGCGGUGAAAUGCGUAGAUAUCGGGAAGAACACCAGUGGCGAAAGCGCUCUGCUGGGCCAUAACUGACGCUCAUGGACGAAAGCCAGGGGAGCGAAAGGGAUUAGAUACCCCUGUAGUCCUGGCCGUAAACGAUGAACACUAGGUGUCGGGGGAAUCGACCCCCUCGGUGUCGUAGCCAACGCGUUAAGUGUUCCGCCUGGGGAGUACGCACGCA